GUCCACGCCGUAAACGAUGUCAACUAGCCGUUGGGAGCGUUGAGCUCUUAGUGGCGCAGCUAACGCAUUAAGUUGACCGCCUGGGAGUACGGCCGCAAGGUUAAACUCAAAUGAAUUGACGGGGCCCGCACAAGCGGUGGAGCAUGUGGUUUAAUUCGAAGCAACGCGAAGAACCUUACCAGGCCUUGACAUCCAAUGAACUUUCUAGAGAUAGAUUGGUGCCUUCGGGAACAUUGAGACAGGUGCUGCAUGGCUGUCGU
rnacentral:rRNA from 1 species